UACGGGGGGGGCAAGCGUUGUUCGGAAUUACUGGGCGUAGAGGGCUCGUAGGCGGCCAACUAAGUCAUACGUGAAAUCCCUCGGCUUAACCGGGGAACUGCGUCUGAUACUGGAUGGCUUGAGUUCGGGAGAGGGAUGCGGAAUUCCAGGUGUAGCGGUGAAAUGCGUAGAUAUCUGGAGGAACACCGGUGGCGAAGGCGGCAUCCUGGACCGAUACUGACGCUGAGGAGCGAAAGCCAGGGGAGCAAACGGG
rnacentral:rRNA from 1 species